GAUGAACGCUGACAGAAUGCUUAACACAUGCAAAGUCUAUGAGAAGAUCUACUUCGGUAGAAGGUAUCAUGGCGGACGGGUGAGUAACACGUGGAUAAUCUACCUGCAACACCGGGAUAACGCUGUGAAAACGGUGCUAAUACCGGAUACGUUCCCUUGUGCGCAUGUAUGAGGGAAGAAAGCUCAGGCGGUUGCAGAUGAGUCCGCGGCUGAUUAGCUAGUUGGUGAGGUAAAGGCUCACCAAGGCGAUGAUCAGUAGCCGGCCUGAGAGGGUGAACGGCCACACUGGGACUGAGACACGGCCCAGACUCCUACGGGAGGCAGCAGUGGGGAAUCUUCCGCAAUGGGCGCAAGCCUGACGGAGCAACGCCGCGUGGGUGAAGAAGGCCUUCGGGUUGUAAAGCCCUGUCUUAUGGGAAGAAGUCAGUGACGGUACCAUAGGAGGAAGCCACGGCUAACUACGUG
rnacentral:rRNA from 1 species